rnacentral:rRNA from 1 species
UACGUAGGGUGCGAGCGUUACUCGGAAUUACUGGGCGUAAAGCGUGCGCAGGCGGUUCGCUAAGACCGAUGUGAAAUGCCCGGGCUUAACCUGGGAACUGCAUUUGUGACUGCACGGCUAGAGUUUGGCAGAGGGGGGUAGAAUUCCACGUGUAGCAGUGAAAUGCGUAGAGAUGUGGAGGAACACCGAUGGCGAAGGCAGCCCCCUGGGUCAAAACUGACGCUCAUGCACGAAAGCGUGGGGAGCAAACAGG